AUUCGUUAUGGAAUGCAAUCCCAGGCAUGAGCCAGGAGCCCCAUUCAAAACCCACGGCUUAGUCGGUUUCAAAACAAAAGUGACAGAGUGACUAGUUUGAAAAUUCAAAUAUAUAUUGUAAGUAUUUUUCUGGGCAAUGCAUCAUGCUUCCUUGUUGACAACAUGGCCGAGCGUCGCAGAUUACUGUUCUGUUUGAGAGGGCGCUCCUCUGUCACUGCGUUUUCCCGGUGGUUCAACCAUGUCACGAGUGAAAAUGUAUUGGUCGCGGUAUUUUUUGGGCAACUUCUACCAACAUUUUGGCGUUUCAACAACAAAACCAUCUAUUUCACUGUGACCUGUUUCUGACUAUUAGGCAGGCUGUUGUUGACUAUCAGGCUGUUGCUGACUAUCAGGCAGUGUGGCAGGCUGUUGUUAACUAUCAGGCUGUUGCUGACUAUCAGGCAGUGUGGCAGGCUGUUGUUAACUAUCAGGCUGUUGCUAACUAUCAGGCAGUGCUGUUGCUGACUAUCAGGCAGGCUGUUGUUAACUAUCAGGCAGGCUGUUGCUGACUAUCAGGCAGGCUGUUGUUAACUAUCAGGCAGUGUGGCAGGCUGUUGUUAACUAUCAGGCAGUGUGGCAGGCUGUUGUUAACUAUCAGACAGUGUGGCAGGCUGUUGCUAACUAUCAGGCAGUUUGGCAGGCUGUUGUUAACUAUCAGGCAGUGUGGCAGGCUGUUGCUGACUAUCAGGCUGUUGUUAACUAUCAGGCAGUGUGGCAGGCUGUUGUUAACUAUCAGGCAGUGUGGCAGGCUGUUGCUGACUAUCAGGCAGGCUGUUGUUAACUAUCAGGCAGUGUGGCAGGCUGUUGCUGACUAUCAGGCUGUUGUUAACUAUCAGGCAGUGUGGCAGGCUGUUGCUGACUAUCAG
ensembl:lncRNA